ACAAGUAGAAUGUGAUUUUUAAUUUCAUAUCUCUGUUAUACAAAAAGUAACGAAAAUUUACAUAUUAAGCUGUAUUGACAAAUUACUGUUAUUUGGUAAACGUUCCAUUUGUUUAAUAUUAACUUUUUUAACGCCAGAUAACAUGAGACUGAUGUUGAGUUUGUUUCUUACUGCUAUCGUCUUCAUAGAGAGGACACACGGCAUAGUGUGCACAGCCAACAUCUGCGACCUAGUGGAUUGUAUACAUCAUACACCAGAGAACUGCCCCGGGAAAUUCGUGAAGAAUGGCGGCUAUUGUGGCUGCUGUGACGCCUGUUUGGCUAUUUUAAAACCUGGUGAUACCUGCUACAGUUUAUUUUUAGCUGGAUCCCCUAACACGACUAUCUGCCCUGACAACUACCACUGUGAUACAAAUACCUUUAAGUGUACAGCGAAUUAAAUGAAAAGUACGUUCAUGGUUUUUCUGGUUGGCCUCAAGUUUAAUGCAUCACGUGAUGAUACAUGCUGUUAUUAACUUAGGUCUAUUGUAUAUGAUUUUUUUCGAUUACAUGUAAUUACAAAUAUUUUAAAUAAAAUUAUUAAAGAAAAA